rnacentral:rRNA from 1 species
AGUUCGGAUUGAAGGCUGAAAUUCGCCUUCAUGAAGCCGGAAUUGCUAGUAAUGGCAGGUCAGCAUACUGCCGUGAAUACGUUCCCGGGCCUUGUACACACCGCCCGUCACACCAUGAGAGUUGGGAAUACCCGAAGCCUGUGAGCUAAACUAAUAGAGGCAGCAGUCGAAGGUAGAAUCAAUGAGUUGGGGUGAAGUCGUAACAAGGUAUC